GGGUGUUGCAAGCGCCCCUUCCGGCACUUGAGGCAUUGGGGCCUGUCUGGUUCUUUGGCCAGCCUGGGCUCUGGAGCCCUCAUCCACCCUGCGCCUGGUCUCCCUCUCCAACGCAACGCCUCCCACCCCAUUUCCGCGAAGGCUGCUCACCGGGUGUGCCCCAAGUUGCGCGCCCCGUCCCGGAACGCAGGCGCGGCUGUGCAGGCCCGGCUGUGCAGGCCCCCGGCUGGCUCCUCGGGGAGGAGGCGGCUGUCCUGCAGGAGGCGCGCUCCGGGCUGAGACCUGGGGCAGGAGCGCGUCACGGCGGGCGGGUGGGGCUGGCGGGAAGACCGCGAGGGAGGGCGCGUCUGGGGGCACCGGUGACCCGCGGGUGGGGGUAGAAAGCUUGGGCCGAGCCAGCGACGGGGAGAGUCGGCGAGUCCGCUUCAGAGUCCAGGCUGUGACAGGAGGGCAGGGGCCUGCAGGGAGCCUUAGGUGCGGCGCCGGCCCCCGGGAGCGGCAGGUACCGCGCGGCGCGACCCCGGGACCUCGGGCGCCGCGGGAGGGAGGCAGGGAGGGGCCCCAGCGAGGAGCCCAGCCCACCCGAGCAGGGUCAGGGUCACCCGAGGCGGCACCCGCGGAUCCCGGGCCACCACGCCGGCAGGAAGCCGUCCCAGGACCCAAAGGGGCUGCACUCAAAGGGCUUCUCUUCAGUGUAGGCCCCCAGGUGCUGCUGCAGGUUGAAAGAAUAUUGAAGGAUUGCCUGACCUCCUGGCACUCUAAGAACUUUUCUGUGGUUUCCAUGAGGAUGGAGUCUCUGAAGACAGAACUGGGCUUUGAUCAUUUCAGUGGAUGGAUGCCACAGCUUUCCAAAUCUGGCCAUGGAAAGAAUACCUCACUUCCAGCCAAAGGCCCUGCAUUCUCCCACACUGUCCACACUGGACAAGGGAGGAGACAUAGUCACAGGGCAUAUGCCACACACAAAAGAAGGUCAGAGGCUCUUGACUGACAUUUUCCAGGAAUAAGAUUUUGGUGGUUUGAAAAACUAUUAUUCCUGCAAGGUGGUGCCUCAGAAUGAGGGGAAAAUACUUAACCACUGGGUGUGUGGUCAUUUAACAUUUGCUAUUGGAGUGAGUUAAUAAAUAGACACCAAAGAGAUCUUUAAUAUCAUUUUAUAGUUCUACAUGAAUAAUGAGAGCUAUCCCAUUCUUGUCCAUGUAAAAUCCAUCAGUUUUCAUGAGAUUCUGCAUUAUUUCCUCCUGUAUUUUUUAUUAAGGUGAAAUUCACAUUAUAUAAAAUUAACAAUUUUAAAGUAAACACUUCAGUGGCAUUUAGUAUGCUCACAAUGUGGUACAAUUGCUGCCUUUAUCUAGUUCUAAAAUAUUUUUAUUACCCCAAAAUAAAACCUAUUCAGCAGUUUUUCCUUAUUGCUUCUUUUCGGCCCUGGCAACCCGCCCACCCC
ensembl:lncRNA